rnacentral:rRNA from 1 species
AACGAACGCUGGCGGCGUGCCUAACACAUGCAAGUCGAGCGAGAAAGCCCGCAAGGGUGAGUAAAGCGGCGCACGGGUGCGUAACACGUGGGUAAUCUGCCCUGAAGUCCGGAAUAACUCGCCGAAAGGCGUGCUAAUGCCGGAUAAGACCACGGGAACCUCGGUUCCUGCGGGAAAAGGUGGCCUCUGUACACAAGCUAUCACUUCAGGAUGAGCCCGCGGCCCAUCAGCUAGUUGGCGGGGUAAUGGCCCACCGAGGCUACGACGGGUAGCGUGUCUAAGAGGACGAUCAGCCACACGGGAACUGAGACACGGUCCAGACUCCUACGGGGGGCAGCAGUGGGGAAUCUUGCGCAAUGGGCGAAAGCCUGACGCAGCAACGCCGCGUGUGUGAUGAAGGUCUUCGGAUCGUAAAGCACUGUCGGGAGGGACGAAUAGGGCGCCGGCUAACAUCCGGCGCUGAUGACGGUACCUCCAAAGGAAGCACCGGCUAACUCUGUGCCAGCCGCCGCGGUAACAC